rfam:Medicago truncatula strain A17 chromosome 1, whole genome shotgun sequence.
CCCAUAAGUAAUAAAAUGUCUGUUUAGGUCCCUUAACUUUAUUUAAAUUAUCAGUUUGGUCCUUUAUGUUAAUUUGUUUCAAAAAAACGUUAAGUGUAGGGAUCAAACUACUACUAAUUAAAUAAGUUAAGGGAUUAAAAUUUAACGUUUUUUUUAUAAUUAAAUUAACAGAAAUGACCAAACCGAUACUUUAAAUAAAGUUAAGGGACCUAAACAGACCUCUUAUUACUUAUGGGA